GACAGCAGCAGCCGCGGUAACACGAAGGGUGCAAGCGUUACUCGGAAUUACUGGGCGUAAAGCGUGCGUAGGUGGUGGUUUAAGUCCGUUGUGAAAGCCCUGGGCUCAACCUGGGAAUUGCAGUGGAUACUGGGUCACUAGAGUGUGGUAGAGGAUAGUGGAAUUUCCGGUGUAGCAGUGAAAUGCGUAGAGAUCGGAAGGAACAUCUGUGGCGAAGGCGACUAUCUGGGCCAACACUGACACUGAGGCACGAAAGCGUGGGGAGCAAACAGGAUUAGAUACCCCAGUAGUCCCUGUCUCUUAUAC
rnacentral:rRNA from 1 species